rnacentral:rRNA from 1 species
CUACGGGGGGCAGCAGUGAGGAAUAUUGCACAAUGGACGGAAGUCUGAUGCAGCGACGCCGCGUGGAUGAUGAAGGCCCUCGGGUUGUAAAAUCCUUUUCAGGGGGACGAGGAAGGACGGUACCCUUGGAAUAAGCGUCGGCUAACUACGUGCCAGCAGCCGCGGUAAGACGUAGGACGCAAGCGUUAUCCGGAUUUACUGGGCGUAAAGCGUCUGUAGGCGGAAUGGUAAGUUGGACGUGAAAGCUCCGGGCUCAACCCGGAGAGGUCGUUCAAUACUGCCAAACUAGAGGGCAUCAGAGGAGCGUGGAAUUUCCGGUGUAGCGGUAAAAUGCGCAGAUAUCGGAAGGAACACCAAUGGCGAAGGCAGCGCUCUGGGAUGAACCUGACGCUAAGAGACGAAAGCUAGGGGAGCGAACAGGAUUAGAUACCCUCGUAGUC